rnacentral:rRNA from 1 species
GAUGAACGCUGGCGGCGUGCCUAACACAUGCAAGUCGAGCGAUUUACUUCGGUAAAGAGCGGCGGACGGGUGAGUAACGCGUGGGUAACCUGCCUUGUACACACGGAUAACAUACCGAAAGGUAUGCUAAUACGAGAUAAUAUGCUUUUAUCGCAUGGUAGAAGUAUCAAAGCUCCGGCGGUACAGGAUGGACCCGCGUCUGAUUAGCUAGUUGGUAAGGUAACGGCUUACCAAGGCGACGAUCAGUAGCCGACCUGAGAGGGUGAUCGGCCACAUUGGAACUGAGACACGGUCCAAACUCCUACGGGAGGCAGCAGUGGGGAAUAUUGCACAAUGGGCGAAAGCCUGAUGCAGCAACGCCGCGUGAGCGAUGAAGGCCUUCGGGUCGUAAAGCUCUGUCCUCAAGGAAGAUAAUGACGGUACUUGAGGAGGAAGCCCCGGCUAACUACGUGCCAGCAGCCGCCGUAA